rnacentral:rRNA from 1 species
AUGAAGCUGCUAGGAUUGUUUAGGAAGGUCAGCUCGUUAGUUGGACAACGGGUGCAAUGUUCUCCAGUGGAACGUCUUUUAUCAUGCUCCACAAGGCGCAUUUCUAGCUUCGCAGAUUGGGAUUCGGGUCCUGUGAACAACAGAGUUUACUUUUCCAGGAAGACGAAUCCUGCUGAUUUGGUUGAUGUAAUUAAGCACUUCCAAGAGAAUCCAAUUUUUGAGUCUAUAUUGUCCAACAAGUUGGUUAGCAAAGCUACCUCGAGCAAAGCAUCUGAUAAAUCCACUGCGAGCAAUGCGCCCCAAAAGAACCCGUUUCUGGAGGCUAUUUCUAAAAUGAAUCUUCUGAUGGUGUCUAGAGCUGCCACUGUGGCUUUCCGGUCGUUGCCUGAAUUGUACCUGGAAAAUGUCUUGAGAGGGAUUUUUCUUGGUCCAAGAAUUUCGCUGUCCAAUGUCAGGAUUCACAAGCCAAGCGGGAAAUUUGUCUUUGUCGACAAUGAACAAGGAAUGCCCCAUGAACCUCCUCUUGCGAAGCAUUCGGGAGAUCUCAAAGGCGUAGCAGGUUUUGUUCGGGAGAUCAUCUCCAUUCUGUACCCUCGCAUCACAUUACCUUCUGACCUGUCUCACUGGUUGACAUUGCUUGAAGAGCCAGAGCCCACCUUAUAUUUGAUCAUGUACCACUCCAUGUUCUUAUCUUUGAAAGGUCGGUUUCUAUACCAUGUCGUGCUUGACCAGGCAACACGAAAGGAGUUUGAGAGAGGUUACCAGGUUGGGCUCAUGCAUAUACUACGGAAGUUGGCGAAGUUUAAAGGGCUAUUUGGUCUUGCUGCGCUGCACGAAUUCUUGAAAUCACAAAUGGAUAAGUGA